GACGAACGCUGGCGGCGUGCUUAACACAUGCAAGUCGAACGGAAAGGCCCUGCUUUUGUGGGGUGCUCGAGUGGCGAACGGGUGAGUAACACGUGAGUAACCUGCCCUUGACUUUGGGAUAACUUCAGGAAACUGGGGCUAAUACCGGAUAGGAGCUCCUGCUGCAUGGUGGGGGGUGGAAAGUUUCGGCGGUUGGGGAUGGACUCGCGGCUUAUCAGCUUGUUGGUGGGGUAGUGGCUUACCAAGGCUUUGACGGGUAGCCGGCCUGAGAGGGUGACCGGCCACAUUGGGACUGAGAUACGGCCCAGACUCCUACGGGAGGCAGCAGUGGGGAAUAUUGCACAAUGGGCGGAAGCCUGAUGCAGCAGCGCCGCGUGCGGGAUGACGGCCUUCGGGUUGUAAACCGCUUUCGCCUGUGACGAAGCGUGAGUGACGGUAAUGGGUAAAGAAGCACCGGCUAACUACGUG
rnacentral:rRNA from 1 species